rnacentral:rRNA from 1 species
UAAGGAAUAUUGGUCAAUGGAGGCAACUCUGAACCAGCCAUGCCGCGUGAAGGAUGAAGGUCCUCUGGAUUGUAAACUUCUUUUAUGUGGGAAGAAAUACAUUCUUUACAGAGUGUUUGACGGUACCAUAGGAAUAAGCACCGGCUAACUCCGUGCCAGCAGCCGCGGUAAUACGGAGGGUGCGAGCGUUAUCCGGAUUCACUGGGUUUAAAGGGUGCGUAGGUGGGAAUGUAAGUCAGUGGUGAAAUCUCUGAGCUUAACUCAGAAACUGCCAUUGAUACUAUAUUUCCUGAAUUUUCCGGAGGUCAGCGGAAUAUGUCAUGUAGCGGUGAAAUGCUUAGAUAUGACAUAGAACACCAAUUGCGAAGGCAGCUGGCUACAGGGAUAUUGACACUGAGGCACGAAAAGCGU